rnacentral:lncRNA from 1 species
UUCAAAAGAGACAAUGGGAAAGUAUUUAUAAACUAACUGAAUUUUUUGUUUUGUUUUCCUUAUAGAAGGCCUGGGAGCUGAUGUCUUAAAGUACGUAUGUCUAGGUGCCCAGGACCCUAAAGCAGAAUUCUCCAUGGUGAACAACAUAACAGGUCUUCCUCUAAAGAGCCAAGUCUAAUCUCCUGCAGAAGGCCUCUCUGUGCUCCCAGCCACAGUUUCCAUCAAGCCAUGCUUCCUGCCAGGCAAGCCAAAGACUCUCCUCCCAGAGGGAGACCCAGCUGGAGCUCUCCUCCUCCCCCUUUUCCCUUUGGCUCUGGGUAAGAUCCAGCCCUCAGGCCCCCACUCCAGUCUCAGCUCUUCUGAGGCAUCCAGUGGCAUCUGGAAUGUCCAAGAGCCUGAGAACCUGUUGUCCUCGACUCUGCAGGCCAGAAACUCUGAGCCAACUGGCAGGUCUACAGGAAGUUCAGGCUGUGCUCCCCUAAUCUUGGAGAAGGGUCCUAGGGCUUCUUGCAACCUGACGCCCUCCUGGCACCAGCAUGCAUUGCACACAGUCAAAACUGCUCACAUCCCACCUCACCCAGGGGCCCAAGCCCUGAGCCAGAUGUAGGCCACCCUUUAUCCCACAAGCUAACAUGAACCCUUUGGGCUCUCAGAGACUGAA